AUGGCCUGGACUCCUCUGCUCCUCCUGCUCCUCUUUCAAUGCACAGGUUCCCUCUGCCAGCCUGUGCUGACUCAGCCGCCCGUCCUCUCUGCUUCUCCUGGAGCCAGACUCACCUGCACCCUGAGCAGUGGAUUCAGUGUUGGCAGCUAUGCCAUACACUGGUACCAGCAGAAGCCAGGGAGCCCUCUCCGGUACCUCCUGUACUACUACUCAGACUCAGAUAAACACCAGGGCCCCGGGGUCCCCAGCCGCUUCUCUGGAGCCAAAGACGCCUCCGCCAAUGCAGGCCUCCUGCUCGUCUCUGGGCCACAGGCUGAGGACGAGGCCGACAACUACUGUCAGAUCAAGCACAGCGGUGCUUCUCCCUGUGACCCACACAGAUGGGAAGUGGGACAGAAACCUCAGCCUGCUCAGGGACCGAGUCCUCGACCCUCUCCAGUUUCAAAUUACCUCAACACACUCAUUGUACUUAGAGGAGCUUCCAUGCCCCAGUGUCUGUCCUGCCAAUUUUCUGUUCAGUGUGUCUGAACUCUCAGGAAACACAGAAACAACAGUGCUAUGAUGAUACAGAAAUCUUGCCUCGUUCAGUGUUUAAAAAUUCUGAAUAAAAUGAU